GGUGCUUCUCUGCCUCUGCUCUCCUGGCUCAGGCCCAGCAUCCAGAGAUGCUCUGGCCUCUCCAGUGGCUUCAGCAGCACAGAUUUCUCCUGCACCGCCCUGGGAGUCAUCCCAACUGCAGGAUCUGUGUUCAGACUCCUGGCCAGGACAAUACUGAAGUCUUCAGACAGUCAAGGCACUUUGCAGCCUCUCAGAGUGACCUAGCCAGCCGGCAUGGCAGCAGUCCGUACAGCAGGCGGAAAAGUGAAACCCAGCCAACUGAACCUAUCACUCUACGUCACCCCUAAGCGGGAGCUUCCCCUACACCAGGGAGCUCAAUAGGUUCCUGGAUGAGGACAGCAGGAGCCCUAAAAGAUGCCACUGCCCCAGACAGCAGGAAUUAAUUUUAAGUACAUGAUGCCCACAUUCCCAAGGGGAGGGGAGAAAAAUGUUAGCAACUCCUUAUUGACUUCCUGAAAUCGACUCCCAUCUUGCUGCUCCCUGGAAGGGGGGCUGUCUGGAAGCAGAGCCUGAAAGCUGGAUACUCUGUGCUUUUCUUCAUUUUCCUCACCAUUCUGAGGGAAGAAGAUGAAGCCUAGGUCAUUUGUGCCAAGAGACGAUGUCAACAGCUUCAUGAAGGGGAUUUGUUCACCCUAUAAGUGCUCCACUUAGAGGCAUGGGCCCUGGAGAAUAAUCCUCUGGCAUCAAGAAACCCUGAAAAUGCAGCCACGGGGUUCAGCCUCUGGGGACACAGGAACUCAUGGCAGGAUGGAGACUGAGAUCCAAGGUCUAAUGAGGGAUAUCAGGACAGAGGAGGAUCCUGAGAAGAGUGUGUGCUAUUUGUUUCCAUGGAGAUGGAGUCGACAGGAUGAACCGCCACAGCAGCUGAUGUUGAUUCUGCUGGUAGGGGACCGCGAGAAUCUCUUCCUGCUUCCUGUAUUUACUUCAUUUUCCUUCAUUCACUGUUCCUGUUCAGAUUCUUUUUUUAGUGGAAAAAAAAUAAGUAUACUGAGUCACAUUUCUCAAGUCAUUCUGGUCUCUUUUUAAACUCCCCAUGCAAUCUGGAUCUUAGAGGCAGAGUCAUAUGACAUUGGCUGUUUUUGCUUCCUGACCCACAAGUCAUCAAGAACCCUUAAUGGCAUUAAUUCCUAUGCCUCAAUAUACGUCAGCUGACAUGUCAUAUUUAUACAUAGAGCAUCCAUAACUUUUUUUAACCUCCCAUGGCCAAAUCUGGCAAUUAGUUGUGACCCACCUUCGGUGAUCAAG